CCUACGGGUGGCAGCAGUGAGGAAUAUUGGUCAAUGGGCGCGAGCCUGAACCAGCCAAGUCGCGUGAGGGAAGACGGUCCUAUGGAUUGUAAACCUCUUUUGUCGGGGAGCAAAAGACGCCACGCGUGGCGUUCCGAGAGUACCCGAAGAAAAAGCCCCGGCUAACUACGUGCCAGCAGCCGCGGUAAUACGUAGGGGGCAAGCGUUAUCCGGAUUUACUGGGUGUAAAGGGAGCGUAGACGGUGAUGCAAGUCAGAAGUGAAAGCCCGGGGCUCAACUCCGGGACUGCUUUUGAAACGGGGUGACUGGAGUGCAGGAGAGGUAAGCGGAAUUCCUGGUGUAGCGGUGAAAUGCGUAGAUAUCAGGAGGAACACCAGUGGCGAAGGCGGCUUACUGGACUGUAACUGACGUUGAGGCUCGAAAGCGUGGGGAGCAAACAGGAUUAGAUACCCCAGUAGUC
rnacentral:rRNA from 1 species